rnacentral:rRNA from 1 species
UACGAAGGGGGCUAGCGUUGCUCGGAAUCACUGGGCGUAAAGCGCACGUAGGCGGCUUCUUAAGUCAGGGGUGAAGUCCUGGAGCUCAACUCCAGAACUGCCUUUGAUACUGAGAGGCUUGAGUCCGGGAGAGGUGAGUGGAACUGCGAGUGUAGAGGUGAAAUUCGUAGAUAUUCGCAAGAACACCAGUGGCGAAGGCGGCUCACUGGCCCGGUACUGACGCUGAGGCGCGAAAGCGUGGGGAGCAAACAGG